GACGAACGCUGGCGGCGUGCCUAAUACAUGCAAGUAGGACGCUGACUACUUUAGCUUGCUAGAGUAGAAGGAGUUGCGAACGGGUGAGUAACGCGUAGGUAACCUGCCUACUAGCGGGGGAUAACUAUUGGAAACGAUAGCUAAUACCGCAUAACAGUGUUUAACACAUGUUAGAUGCUUGAAAGAUGCAAUUGCAUCACUAGUAGAUGGACCUGCGUUGUAUUAGCUAGUUGGUGGGGUAACGGCCCACCAAGGCGACGAUACAUAGCCGACCUGAGAGGGUGAACGGCCACAAGGGGACUGAGACACGGCCCUU
rnacentral:rRNA from 1 species